CGCAGACGCCCCGACGGACGCGGUCAGAGCGAUCGGCAGAGCUCGGUGUCCCGGCCGGCGGUUCCCAGCCACCUCCGCCUGUCGCCCGAGGUCGCCGCCGCGCCUGAGUGAGUGAGGAGAGCGUCCACCCGCGGCCCCGGAGCGGCGGUGAAGGCGUUCGAGCGCUCGGUUCCCCUUUGAACUCUGAAGCCGUCAGGUCAGUUCAGCCUCUUGGGGACCGGAGUUCGCGGUGACAGUCGCCCGAGGAGAUGAUGCCACGUGGUGAGCCGAAGUACACCGGCAGGAUUCCACGCCGAGACCGGGCUCCGUCUGCGCUCUGGUUUUUCACCUGGCCCGCGUGGCUGAUGAGUACGCGUGCCCCAGUACGCGCGUUAGUGAAACCUGCGUUGUCUGCUGGGGUUUUUCUUAUUCUUGAUUUCCGACUAGUAAACUGUCUUGUGACUGUCUUGCUUUGAAGGACUAGGGGCUUGGGGAAGGCGGUUUUCAAAAAAGAAACAUUAGCAACUGAGAAACAAAUUUCUGCCCGAGUAGGCAAAAUAAAUGAUAAGCAACAAAAUGCUGAGGGGGUGGUUAAGUAAGCUACAGAAAUGGAAACAAAAGAAGGAACAAAGCGAAGGAACACAGCAGGCAACCAAUUCUGCCUUCACACAGAAAGACAGGUCCCCACCAUUGGCUCUCUCAGCAUAACCAACGAGUUCUUUAUACUUUGAAACCCCACAAAAUGUAGCGAGGACACUAAAGAGGGUCUGAACAGUGUCCCUCCAAGGCCAGGAUUGGACUGUAUCACUUUAUUCAUAGGUUGUUUUUUGUUUGUUUGAUUUUGGUUGUUUGUUUUGGUUUUGGUUUUAUUUUGGUUACUUAUGGAUUAUUCCAAAGCACCAUGCUUACAGUGGAAGAGGCAAACAUUCUUUGAACAGUGAGACAGUCCUCCACCAUCUUCAAAUCCGUCUUACACUUUGGAUCAACACACAGAAAGCCCCGGGUGAGCAGAAGGAAGCUCUCAACAGAGAACUCAGCUUGGACCUCAGCAAAGAUGUUUUCCUUGAAAUAAAGCCCGUUCCUGUUACUGAAGACUUCUGUAUGGGCUAAGUCACGCCACUCGACCACACCUUUGCAGUUUCCGUCCUACGUCCUAAUCACAUCCCUGCGAAGGUAGGAAGUUCAUCCUAUUUAUCCAUCUAUGAGCUUUAGAUCUCAUCUUGUUAACGUGGGAAGGCUCAUAAAAAUAUAAGAUCUGGCUCAAAAAAAAAUCCCCAAAUACGAGAACCACAUUAAGGAGACAGAAAAGAAAAUGAUGUCCAGAUGAUUCCUUCUUGCAAACCUCUUAAGACAUGGAAUGGCUUCUGUCGUUUCCAAGGUAACGUGGGAAAAAUACACUGAGUCUUUAAAAAAUUUUCACUUUGACCACUCUCUUGCGCCCCUCUGUUGUCCCCAAGGAACAAUCUGGAUGCCAGCUGUCCUUUCAUUGCUUCAGUAGAGACACAUCCUACUUAAUGUCAUAA